UACGUAGGGUGCAAGCGUUGUCCGGAAUUAUUGGGCGUAAAGAGCUCGUAGGCGGUCUGUCGCGUCGGAUGUGAAAAUCCAGGGCUCAACCCUGGACCUGCAUUCGAUACGGGCAGACUAGAGUUCGGCAGGGGAGACUGGAAUUCCUGGUGUAGCGGUGAAAUGCGCAGAUAUCAGGAGGAACACCGGUGGCGAAGGCGGGUCUCUGGGCCGAUACCGACGCUGAGGAGCGAAAGCGUGGGGAGCAAACAGG
rnacentral:rRNA from 1 species